ensembl:lncRNA
AAAAAUGUUAGAGAACUUCAUCAUUUUUCCCAAGUGUCUCAAGUCUUUGAUAUUUUAGGGAUUCUUUUCUGAAGCAACAAUAUGGCCAUCUUCUCUGUUGAUCUAGCCUUCCCUGUAGUUUAUAUCUUUACUACACAUUUGUUCGUAGCUUCACAGGCCUCAUGUUGACAUUGACGUGACAAAAGCUUAUACCUUUUCAAGAUUUGCAACUCCACUCUGGAACAGCAUGGAAUCUGUUUGUAUUGUUCAGUGUCUGUCGCCCAGGGAAGAAGAAAAGACUAACAUUUAGAAAAGACACUUGAGCAGAUUUUGCUGUUCCAAGUGUGGUCCUCGGCUCAGGAGCAUUGAUAACCACCCAGAGCUUGUGAGAAAUACAGAACGGCAGCCCCAUCUGCUGAACUACAGACUCGAGGAAUUGCAGUAAGCAUUUCAACAAAAUCCCCAG